AUUGAACGCUGGCGGCAGGCUUAACACAUGCAAGUCGAGCGAGCGGCGGACGGGUGAGUAAUGUCUGGGAAACUGCCUGAUGGAGGGGGAUAACUACUGGAACCGGUAGCUAAUACCGCAUACCAUCAGAUGUGCCCAGAUUGGAGUGGCUAGUAGGUGGGGUAAUGGCUCACCGAGGCGACGAACCCUAGCUGGUCUGAGAGGAUGACCAGCCGCACUGGAACGGAGACACGGUCCAGACGCCUACGGGAGGCAGCAGUGGGGAAUAUUGCACAAUGGGCGCGAGCCUGAUGCAGCCAUGCCGCGUGUGUGAAGAAGGCCUUCGGGUUGUAAAGCACUUUCAGCGAGGAGGCGUUACUCGCAGAAGAAGCACCGGCUAACUCCGUGCCAGCAGCCGCGGUAAUUC
rnacentral:rRNA from 1 species